rnacentral:rRNA from 1 species
UACGUAGGGGGCAAGCGUUGUCCGGAAUCAUUGGGCGUAAAGAGCGUGUAGGCGGCCUGGUAAGUCCGCUGUGAAAGUCCAGGGCUCAACCCUGGAAUGCCGGUGGAAACUGUCAGGCUCGAGUCCGGAAGAGGCGAGUGGAAUUCCUGGUGUAGCGGUGAAAUGCGCAGAUAUCAGGAGGAACACCGGUGGCGAAGGCGGCCUGCUGGGCAGUUUUGCUGACACUGAGGCGCGACAGCGUGGGGAGCAAACAGG